UGCAUGUUUUCCUGGUGAAAGAUAAAAGGCAUCCUCAAAGGAAAGAAAUACAUUAUGUUUUGAAGUUGCUUCUUGAACAGAUGAGUCGAUGUGGAUAUGUCGAAGAUGCUUGUGAUCUCGAGUCAGAUGAAGAACAUGGUGAAUCCCAACUAACCUCAUUGUACCACAUCGAUAUGUUGGAAGAUGCAGCAGUCGGGUGAUUUUCCUCGAUAAAAUUAGAGGGCAAGAUGCAACUGAGGUAAAGUCUAAAUCUCCUACACAGGCAUACAGCCUUCCCUGGUUUUGCAUUUUCAGAUUUCAGAAGGCAUACAAGUUAUCUGUCGCCUGACUUAUGGGAUAAAUUGCCAUUCUAAGUUUCAUACCAACCGAAGGCUGUCCAUAAGAAUGGAAGGCGAUCCCCAUCCCUUUACCGAACUAAG